rnacentral:misc_RNA from 1 species
UUUCCGUAGGUGAACCUGCGGAAGGAUCAUUACUGAGCUCUUGCCCCCGGGCAGAACUCCCAACCUGAUUGAUAUACUCAAUGUUGCCUUGGCAGGACGACCCUCCGGGCCGCUGGCUACCCGCUAGCGAGUGCCUGCCAUAGGAUCUUCAAACCCAGUUGACACCUGACACUUUCUGAGAAUACAAAAUGUGGGAAUAAAACUUUCAACAACGGAUCUCUUGGCUCCAGCAUCGAUGAAGAACGCAGC